rnacentral:lncRNA from 1 species
GCUGAAGUUCAUUUUGUUGUUAAAGACAGUGAUGUUGUUGGUUCUCAGCUUAUUGGAUUGGUUACAAUCCCUGUCGAACAGAUCUACUCUGGCGCCAAAAUUGAAGGCACUUUUCCUAUUCUAAGCAGUAACGGCAAGCCUUGUAAACCUGGUGCUAAUUUAUCACUAUCCAUCCAGUAUACCCCUAUGGAGAAGCUUAGUGUUUAUCAUCAUGGUGUUGGGGCUGGUCCUGAUUACCAGGGGGUGCCUGGAACUUAUUUUCCCCUUAGAAAAGGCGGAACUGUGACCUUGUACCAAGAUGCUCAUGUCCCUGAAGGUAUGCUCCCUGGUAUUAGACUUGACAAUGGAAUGUCUUACCAACAUGGCAAGUGUUGGCAUGAUAUGUUUGAUGCCAUACGCCAGGCCAGGCGUUUAAUUUAUAUCACUGGUUGGUCAGUCUGGCACAAAGUUAGGCUGGUUCGGGAUAAAGUAGGUCCCGCCUCAGCAUGUACUCUUGGUGAGCUCCUAAGAUCGAAGUCCCAAGAAGGUGUGAGAGUCCUGCUUUUGGUUUGGGAUGAUCCAACUUCACGAAGCAUAUUGGGUUAUAAAACAGUACGUUACCACUUCUUUUAGUUUUCUUCUUCUUUAUUUUCUGAUUUUUAUUUCAUAUCUAGUGUGUACAAGUCGGACAUAUUUAGAGUUUCAUUUAUCUAUGGCUCUGGUUUCUUUGACAUUUCUUCUUAUCUAGAGAAUACUUGUUUUUUUAUCUUUUGACUCAUCUUGGUAACUGUACAGGAUGGUGUUAUGGCCACGCAUGAUGAGGAGACACGCCGUUUCUUCAAACACUCCUCAGUUCAAGUCCUGCUCUGCCCCCGUAAUGCUGGAAAGCGACAUAGUUGGGUCAAGCAGAGGGUAGAGUAUCACUUUCUUUUCUUUUUGUGUGUUAAACUAGGUAUCCAGCUUCUAACUAAAUUUUGGUCUAUCAGGAAGUUGGGACAAUCUAUACACACCACCAAAAAAACGUAAUAGUGGAUGCCGAUGCUGGUGCUAACAGAAGGAAAAUUGUAGCUUUCGUCGGUGGGCUUGAUCUGUGUGAUGGCCGAUAUGACACUCCUCAACAUCCGUUGUUUAGGACACUACAAACAAUUCAUAAAGAUGACUUUCACAACCCCACCUUUACGGUACAGUUUGUUGAUAUCCUCUUUCGUUUUAGAAUAUUGGGGAGCUUUCGUGGUAGUUACGUAGUUAGCGAUCACCGUGAAUGGUAGCUAGGACUUCUUUUUCCCCUAAAAUACGAUCUUUGUAUCAUAUAUAACCAAAUAGCUAGUUUAUGAUUCUUGACAAAAGGACUUGUCUUCUCCAAAUCCUUUUCUUGAGCUCUUCACAUUCAUGCAUAGCUCCUCCUGGUGGAUUUUGUCAUUUGUAGACAUCAAAAUUUAUUGAGCUGGAAGAUUGAUUGAUAAACAUAUGUUACCCAAUCUUUUUAUUCUGGAUGGGAUAACCUUAAUUUUUUUGUCAUCAUCUCAUCAGGGAAACCUUUCUGGAUGUCCAAGAGAGCCGUGGCAUGACUUGCACAGUAAGAUUGAUGGCCCAGCUGCGUAUGAUGUGCUAACCAACUUCGAGGAGAGGUGGUUGAAGGCUGCGAAGCCUAGCGGGAUCAAGAAGUUUAAGACUUCCUAUGAUGAUGCGUUGUUGAGGAUCGAUAGGAUUCCAGAUAUAGUAGGAGUUUCUGAUACCCCUACUAUUAGCGAGAACGAUCCUGAGGCUUGGCAUGUUCAGGUAAGAAUAUCAAAACCAUGAUACUGUCAUGAAACCGUGAUUUACAGUCUUUAGCAUUGCGUUGGAGCUAGAGAUGAAUAGAAAGAGUUGAUGAACUUAAGCAUUUAUGUGAAACCAACCAAUAUGUGUCUGCUAUCUUGAUUGAGCAUAUGGUAAUUAGUGACUAGAUUCGUUUAGCAACAUAACGUCUGACAUCAGCUUCCUUGUACCUAUUUCUUCUCUUUAUACUAUUAUCUAGCCAUCGAUAUUUAAUGGGCCUUUCAGGAUUACCUUUAUAUAGUGGUUUCAUUGAGACUAUCAUGCACAGUCGAUAAAAUAAGUCACACUAUCGACUGUGUGAACUGUCCAGGAAAACUCUAUUUUUUGUAUGUGGGUAAAAUAUAGUCGUGGUUCAUAUUACGCUGGCUAAUCUGAUGUUUUUUUUCUGGUUUGAUUCAGAUUUUCCGUUCAAUCGAUUCAAACUCUGUAAAAGGUUUCCCAAAGGAUCCAAAAGAUGCUACAUGCAAGGUGACUUGAAAAUCUUUUCUUUUGUGCUUGGAUGUCUAAAUAUUUUGAAAAAUUAAUCCAUGUAAAGCUUUUGUUUUGAAUAGAACUUGGUGUGUGGGAAGAACGUGCUCAUUGAUAUGAGCAUACACACAGCCUAUGUCAAGGCAAUUCGUGCAGCUCAACACUUCAUAUAUAUUGAGAAUCAAUAUUUCAUUGGGUCUUCCUACAAUUGGAAUGCGCACAAGGACAUAGGUUCAGUUACAUAUCUCUGCUUGUUUAUUUCAAGAAUACAAAGAAAACUAAGUUCUUUUUAAUUUUUCCUUACAAUUAUGAUUUCAUUAUCCUAGCCUAGGAUAGGCCUCAUACGUUUUUGUCUGCGUACUUUAUAUUGUGUCACGUGUUACUUGACUACCAUCUACUUGUUAACUUUGUACAAAGCUUUAGCUUACUUUUUUUUUUAUUUGUGUGUCUCUAAUUUUUCUUGAUUUUUUUUAGGAGUUGUAAUUGGCUCUCAACGUUGCUUUUGUUGUGUAGGUGCUAAUAAUUUGAUUCCUAUGGAAAUUGCGUUGAAGAUAGCUGAAAAGAUAAGGGCAAAUGAACGCUUUGCUGCAUAUAUAGUCAUUCCAAUGUGGCCAGAAGGUGUUCCAACUGGUGCUGCUACCCAGAGGAUUCUUUAUUGGCAGGUACCUAUUUCCGAGUAAAUAUGCUCUUGUUGUCUAGAAAUCACGAAACUAAGCAGAGAAUAUUGAAACACUGAAUGUCAAUCGUUGCAGCACAAGACAAUGCAGAUGAUGUAUGAAACUAUCUACAAGGCGUUAGUGGAGACCGGACUUGAGGGAGCAUUCUCCCCACAAGAUUACCUCAAUUUCUUCUGUCUUGGCAACAGAGAAAUGGUGGAUGGAAUCGAUAACUCGGGAACAGGAAGUCCAAGCAACGCAAACACUCCUCAGGUAAUAAACUGAAUCCGAGACUGUCAUGUAAAUUUGAUUGAUCAUGUUGCUGAGAAGAUGAUUCCUGAUAAUGGUAUGGCAGGCAUUGAGUCGGAAAAGCAGAAGGUUUAUGAUCUAUGUUCACUCGAAAGGGAUGGUCGUAGAUGAUGAAUACGUAGUAAUUGGAUCGGCAAAUAUAAACCAGCGAUCAAUGGAAGGCACAAGAGAUACAGAGAUUGCAAUGGGAGCUUAUCAGCCACAGCAUACAUGGGCAAGGAAACAUUCUGGUCCAAGGGGUCAGGUACAUCCCGAUGAUAAUAACCACAUAAUCAGUUGCGAGUUCAUUUUUUCCGGUUCUAAAGUUAGGAUCAUUGGCUUCUUCUUUUAUGUGUGCAGAUAUAUGGAUACAGAAUGUCGCUGUGGGCAGAGCAUAUGGCAACAUUAGAUGACUGUUUCACCCAACCAGAGAGUAUAGAAUGUGUAAGGAAAGUGAGAACAAUGGGGGAGAGAAACUGGGAACAGUUUGCAGCUGAAGAAGUGUCAGACAUGAGAGGACAUCUUUUAAAGUAUCCAGUGGAAGUGGAUCGCAAAGGCAAAGUCCGACCACUACCUGGGAGUGAGGCGUUCCCGGACGUGGGAGGUAACAUUGUCGGAUCGUUCAUAGCCAUACAGGAGAAUCUAACCAUUUGACAUAUAAGUUACUGAACCAGUGGUGUUGUGGAUAUUUAUUUAUUGAGAGUUGAAAAUUGGUUAAUGGUUUAACUUUUACACAUUGGGUGGGGGGUAUAUAAAGAAUAAAGAUAAUUCAUAUUUGUGGUGUACAAACUGGUUAAUGUAUUUGAAGUUUCUUCCACCAUGUUUCGAGUUCAUCAAUUAGGGACACACCUAUACACUUGUUUAGUUCUUUAGCAGCAUCACAUUUAUGUUUUUGGAUGAAAACACCCCUUCACUACUAUUCCUUUCUAACAGAAAAAAAAAUAUACGCAGUCUUCGUUGUAUUAUAACUGAAAACACUGCACAAACAUAACAGAAGGCAAAAGAUUGUUAUGUUUGAUCCCUCUAUCCUGUAAAGAGUAGCACAUUGAAAAGAAUGCAAACAAAAACUUAAAUACUUUUCCACCCAUAUAUAUAGUUCAGAAACAGAGACAAGGAGAAGAUACAGAAGACGCAAUGUAGGAAGCAAAUGAAUUUCGAGAGACUGUGGUCAACGAUAAAAGAAACUUUAGAUUUUCUUCUAAAGGGAUAGAACAAAGCCUUUAUCUUUCUCAACUCUUGAUCCGUUCGAGUUCUUCUUCAGCUGUUUUCAGCUGCAAUCGCAAUGUGUGUACUCUCCGCUCCUGGUCUUCUACAUUGCUUCUGCUUGUGGUGGGAUGGUACGGCGUUAAGAAGUUAUCCGAGAAUGCCUUUAAGGCUUCCACCCCUGUGACCUGUGAUCCCACCACAUUCCACAGGAACAUGUUUAAAUAAUGUCCAGAGUAAAACGAGUCUUUUGGUUUUUAGGAAGAAAUCUAGAGAAACAACUAAUCGACCUAAUGGACUUAUUCCUAAAAAGUUAUGUUACAUUUAAUAUCUAAUCUUAUCAUUUAAAUUUUGGACCAACCAAAAUUUUUUAUUAGACUAUCAAUAAUUGGAUUUAAACAAUAGAUGAUCAAUUAGAUUUAUAGAUAAUAUAAAUUAAAUAUAUAUAAUUUAAUAUUGUAAUACUAUACCUCUAUAUGCUAAAUAUUUAAAUAUUUGUCGAAGUUAACUUUUAAAAUUAUAAAGAUUUUUUUUUAAAUAACAAAAAUCAUAUUAUCUAACAAUGAUUAAUCUUUACUACCUUAAACCAAUGAAAAAAAAUUUAAACUAUAAAGUUUAUUCUAAAAAUUAAACAAAAACUAAUGUUUAAUUAUUUACUCGAUAAUAUAAAUUUAUGAAGCGAAAAGUUUAAUUUUUUAAAAACUUUACUUCCGGCUAUGCUUCCUCUGAAUCCCCUCAUGGUGUCGACAUGCGUAUGACCCUCUUUGGUAAAGGCUCCUUGAAGGUCCUUUUGCUGCAUGGUAAUUUUGACAUCUGGAUCUAUCAUGCCAAAAACCUCCCUAACAUGGACAUGUUCCAUAAGACUCUCGGUGACGUUUUUGGAGGCCAGCUCAACAGGAAAAUUACCAGUGAUCCUUACGUCUCUGUAUCUGUCGCCGGUGCUGUUAUUGGUAGAACCUACGUUAUGAGCAACAGUGAAAACCCUGUCUGGAUGCAGCAUUUUUAUGUUCCCGUUGCUCAUCAUGCUGCUGAAGUUCAUUUUGUUGUUAAAGACAGUGAUGUUGUUGGUUCUCAGCUUAUUGGAUUGGUUACAAUCCCUGUCGAACAGAUCUACUCUGGCGCCAAAAUUGAAGGCACUUUUCCUAUUCUAAGCAGUAACGGCAAGCCUUGUAAACCUGGUGCUAAUUUAUCACUAUCCAUCCAGUAUACCCCUAUGGAGAAGCUUAGUGUUUAUCAUCAUGGUGUUGGGGCUGGUCCUGAUUACCAGGGGGUGCCUGGAACUUAUUUUCCCCUUAGAAAAGGCGGAACUGUGACCUUGUACCAAGAUGCUCAUGUCCCUGAAGGUAUGCUCCCUGGUAUUAGACUUGACAAUGGAAUGUCUUACCAACAUGGCAAGUGUUGGCAUGAUAUGUUUGAUGCCAUACGCCAGGCCAGGCGUUUAAUUUAUAUCACUGGUUGG